ACUUGUUGAAGUGAUAAAUUUCCGAACGCAUUUAUGGAAUUUAGUGCAAGUCCCUCGCCGUUGCCACAACUAAAUUUUAUAAUAAAGUUAGCAGACAGCUUUAGUAGCCCGCAGAGGUGGUCGUAGAUGGUGGAAAGUGUGUAGUGUCCGGCACACAACCCACUAAGAUAAUAAAACUCAGUGCCUAAGCCUUGCUGGACAAAGCCUUGGCUGAAGUAAAUUGCCGGCAUGGAUUACCAGGAUUUGUUUAGGAACUCCCGUACCUGAAAGCACCACGUUCUUCCUUCCACCGCAAGGUGCUGGCUCAAAUUAACUUAUAGAGGUGCUGCCGAUAUUGCCCACGACUCGAAAAUAUUUACUUCAGAUUGUGUCUCCUUUUUAUACUUUUUCAAACAAGUCUUGGUUUCUUUGACACUCAUUUCAAGCAUAAUAAAAAUGUAAAGCUACGUA